rnacentral:rRNA from 1 species
UACAGAGACUGCAAGCGUUAUUCGGAUUCACUGGGCGUAAAGGGUGCGCAGGCGGCCGUGUGUGUGAGGCGUGAAAGCCCGAUGCUUAACAUCGGAAUUGCACCUCAAACUACACGGCUAGAGCAUUGGAGAGGGUAGCGGAAUUCACGGUGUAGCAGUGAAAUGCGUAGAUAUCGUAAGGAACACCCGUGGCGAAAGCGGCUCACUGGGUCUUCUCUGACGCUGAUGCACGAAAGCUAGGGGAGCAAACGGG